UACGGAAGGCAGCAGUGGGGAAUAUUGCACAAUGGGCGCAAGCCUGAUGCAGCCAUGCCGCGUGUAUGAAGAAGGCCUUCGGGUUGUAAAGUACUUUCAGUCGUGAGGAAGGUGUUAAGGUUAAUAACCUUAGCAAUUGACGUUAGCGACAGAAGAAGCACCGGCUAACUCCGUGCCAGCAGCCGCGGUAAUACGGAGGGUGCGAGCGUUAAUCGGAAUUACUGGGCGUAAAGGGCACGCAGGCGGUUAAUUAAGUUGGAUGUGAAAUCCCCGGGCUUAACCUGGGAAUGGCAUUCAAGACUGGUUAGCUAGAGUCUUGUAGAGGGGGUAGAAUUCCAUGUGUAGCGGUGAAAUGCGUAGAGAUGUGGAGGAUACCGGUGGCGAAGGCGGCCCCUGGACAAGACUGACGCUCAUGUGCGAAAGCGUGGGGAGCAAACGAGGGAUUAGAUACC
rnacentral:rRNA from 1 species